rfam:Gossypium hirsutum cultivar TM-1 unplaced genomic scaffold scaffold2908.1, whole genome shotgun sequence
UGUUAAAAAUUUUCAUUCAUUUCUACUGUUAAAAACUGGAGUUCUUGACAAAAUAACUAAACAGUUACAUGUGACGUGCCACAUCUACCUUAUGCUGACAUACAUGGAACAAUUUUUAACCGUAAAAAUAGAUGGAAUUGUUAACA